AGACGUGUGUUCUUCCAAUCUGCGUGUCUUGCGACGAUCCAAGAAUUUCACCUCUAACGUUGUAUUACGAGUGGCCCCGAUCGCUCCCUUCGAUCAUUGCCUCGUCGUGAACGGAGACCGACGGAUGACGCGCGGACGAGGCCAUUUUCCAUCA